rfam:Myotis davidii contig203535, whole genome shotgun sequence.
GGCGGUUCUUGGGUGACGCACCCUGGAAUUGGGCUCACCCCUCUCUGUUUCGGUUGUGUUACCGGAGAACUGUG